rnacentral:lncRNA from 13 species
CAUGACUGGAGCACAGGACUUUCUGAUCAUUUAGACCCAUUGGAUAUAAUCUAAACAAAUAUUAUUUUUUAUCGUAUAUUAUAGUAUAUUUUAUUAUGGUAAGGUAUUGUAGCCUACCUAUAGUAGCUUGUAUGCUGUAUAGUAGACUAUAGUAGAGUGUAUAUAGAAUAGUAGUCAUUAAUUUACUAUAACAACAUAAUAGUACCACGGGAUGUCUUGUACUUAAUAAAAUAAUGGAGUAAGAUUUGUUUGCGUUCGUUUUCAAAAUAAGAUGUGAGUACCACACAGACAUUGGCUGCCCCAAUGAGAGCGGGGAGUCGAGAGCAAUUUAAAGCCAUGACAUCACAUUUCAUGACGACCGCAUCCAAAUGCGGAAAGACCUCGGUGCGGCUCUUAUUUCAAUCUGUCUCUGUUCGAGGAAAAUAAGGAAUGCAGCUUUUUUUAGACAAUACGGAGUAUCUCGAUGUUUAUUUUUAGACGUGCCGUAUUUAACGUUGGUGCUGUAUGACUGUCCGUUUAUCUCCCUAUGAAGCACCAUUUUUCUAGACUAGGAUUCUUACCCUCCAUCUUCCCUUAUCUCUGGUGAUUCAACGUGGUAUAAUGUGAUGCAGGAACAUCAGUGGCGCCAGUGAGAUAAAGCAUGGGAUUGCCCCCCAGAGACAGGAACCACACUCCUAUUCCUGAGGUUGAGGUCCCUGGCCCCAGAGGGCCACAUGAUAGACGGCUAGAAGCUAGCUCUGAGGAGCUCUGGAACGUCUACGAUGCUGUGACAGGGUGCUUUCACUAUGAGGUGAUGAUCAGGGAAGAGUGGAGAUGA